CUCUAUUUAUACGAUCCGGUGAACGAACCCUAAUCCCAACCCCGCAGCCGCCGCCCGUGCUCCUUCAUUAGCCAUUGUUUUCUUUUUUUUCUUGUUCGUUCCUGGUAUUGUUGAUGCGAUGAAGAGCUAGUUUCUAUUGAUCCGCCGUCUUCAAUGGCGGCGGCGUGAUGCUCACCUUUACUACUGGUUCGUAUUCACCGAGCAUCCACCCAGCCAGAUCUCCCAUUCUUGUUUUUGAUUUACUUUUCUUUUCUCUCGAUCCAAAGAUCUAUCCGUGCUAGCUUAUUUUCGUUCGCCACUUCUUAUUUUCUUGUUCGUUCCUCGUAUUGAUGCCACGAGUUCGUUCCUGGUAUUUAUGCCAUGAAGAGCAGUUCCUAUUGAUCCGCCGUCUUCAAUGGCGCCGGCGUGAUGUUCAUAGGUUUAGGGUUACCGAGCAUCCGUCCAGCCAGACAGCCCAUUCUUUGUUCAGAUUCAGUUUUCUUUUCUUUCGAUCCAAGAUCUAUUCGUGUUAGCUUCGUACAUAAGUUUCGGUUUCUUUCGGCGAAGAUCCCAGCAGAGAGGUGUUGAAUCUCCCUCGUUGAGUCCUCUCUAACAAAUUUUUAAUCUUCGCACAGUGACGACGCCGUGGAUUUUGUGGAUGUGUGAUUUUCCUGGUUCUGUCACAUCUGUUGCCAUGGAUACAUCUUUUAUCAUACUAGUAUCCAACCUUCUGUUUUUCAUCCGAGGGACCUAUGGAUGGACAGCCCUUCCAGUGCUGUGUCUACCAAGUUUGCCUUCGGACAUUAUAUAGCAAAUUGUUCUUCAAUCAUCUUGCUUGAAACUCUUUUUUUGUGAGAUGGAAACGUUUGCUGACAUUCAAUUUAUGUAUAAUCCAACGAAUUUUUGCUCCUAAAUUUCUGUCUUAUAAAAUAGACCCAACGAGCGAUGAUUCAGGCAGCCUCUUUGUCCCAAUCAAUGGCAAUGGUGGUGUUGCGUUGCUCGGAGAGUAAAUCUUCUGCUCUUCAGAUUAGCUGAGGGGGUGGCUCUGCUUCCCUCCUUGAAGCUUGUCUAGUAGUCUUAAGAACAUCAACUAAUCGUCCUUUGUAUAACAAGUAUAGUUCUGUGACGAGCGAUGAUUCAGGCAGCCUCUUUACCAUUACAGUGGCAUUGGAGGUGUUGCGUUGCUCGGAGAGUAAACCUUUUGCUCUUCAGAUUAGCUGAGGGGGCGGCUACGGCUUCCCUCCCUGAAGCUGGUCUAGUAGUCUUAAGAACAUUAUUAUCAGUAUAUUUCUCAUACCCAAUUUGAUUUUGACAUUUUUGUUUGUGAAAUGGUAGUUCAAUUCUUGGUUGGUGAUCCAUGAAAACAAAUGAUGAUAGCAAGACAGGGACAUCAGAACCCUGAAUUUCAGGGUUAUGACAGACUACGUCUAUAAUGGGAAUCUCUCUGAUGUUUUUCGGUUUCCAAGUGAUAUUGAUCUGGUUUUCUUUUUCUCAAUCAUUCUUUGGAAUAUGGUUUUCUUUCUCGUUCGCAAUUUAGAUCUUGGAUGACAAUGCUCGGCUUAGGUUUGGCCUCAUCAAACAUUGCGAGUACAGCUACGUAGAACCAAUGACUGUUCACACAAUUGGCAACUGAAGCUAUACAGGAACAAUGAACAUCUUUAACUAACCCAAGGCUUCCAGACGGCCCUUUCUGAAUCGUAUGGAAGCAAAACAAAUGAUGGAAGAAAAUCAUUUACGUAUACUAUGAAUAAAUGGAGCCCUUAUGAACCUAUAUUUGACUGAUCAUAUUCGUUUACCAGGACUCGGAGUGUCAGUUCAACGGUUCCUACAACAUUAAGAAUAAAUCUAAGAUUAAACAAAAAUGGCAUUUGUUUUUUUGCAACUGAAGCUUGACAAACACUUGUGUAAUGAGGGAUUAUUCAGGCAACCUUGUGUUAUUGAAUUUUAAGUUUCAGCCUUGUGUGAAAAAUACCAAUCUAUACAUCAAUGCAAAUGUUGAGGGACAAUUUUUUGAGAUAUUUUUAUUUAUUUUUACUGGAUAUAAUCCUUAAAGCUGCCUGAUGAUGAUCAAACUUAUACUUUCGUUCUUCUGAUGUGCCAUUUUGUGGCGCUGUGCGGAAGCAAUUUGGAGACCUGAGCUGAGGAAAUGCUUGAUUAUAUAGUUCUUACCCAAUAAUUGCCAAUUUUGCUAUUUUUUUUCCAUGUUUUCUUAGUCUGUGAUGAAAAAAUGUUUUGUGUUUGUUGCUUCACAACUGGAAGGAUGACAUGUUGAUAACAGUUUGGUCAUCCUGUAGAGGGGAGCAUAGAUGAACGGAAACACCAGCCAGCAUUAAACAGCACUGCGCUCUAUCAAACCGUGUUGUGUUACCUGUCUUCUGGCACAUUUUUUUUAUUUCUUGAUAUUUUAGUUCCUGACUUUGUAGCUUGUUAAUCUGGCAAAAGAAAUCAUUACACGUGCUUCGGUGGAGAUAUUGCCGUGGAGCAAUCGGUGGACUGUUAUUGCAGCAGCAAUUAUUUUAUUUUGUAAAUGCAAAUCCUGUGUCAUCAAAUUGAUGCAUUAGGUGGAAGUCGGGUGCAUGGGUAGUAGGAAUCUGUUUAAACAUCACUUUUUUCAAGCAAUCAAUCAGUUUUGUCUUGUGAUGAUCAAACUAAUAGUUCUUCUGAUGCGCAAUCUCAUGGCGUGGUGCGGAAGCAAUUUGGAGACCUGAACUGAGGUACCACUAUGUAAAAACAGUUUUGGUUAAAAUUUCAUAUUUUUAGUGUAGUGUUGCAAAUGGAAAUGAUUAUUUUUUGUUAUACUCUUUUUGCAGUAUUGCUGUCUUGGCAUGUGCUCCUUCACAUCUGUAAAAAUACCCUGACAUAAACAGUUUUUUUUUUUGCGGGUGGCAAACAGUUUUUUUAACUGCACACAUUAUACUAAUUAACCCAUUAAUAAAACGGAGUCAGAAAGACCGACAUCAUACAUGCUUCCAGGAAACUUACAUCACAUAAUAAAAAAUAUUACGAAUAAGUCAAACGCCAGUGGUUGAAUCUAAAAUCUUCCGAUCUUUAGAUUAGCUGAGGGGGUGGCUUUCCUUAACGUUUGUCUAGUAGCCUUAAGAACGUUUUCUAUCUGUUUCAUACACAAUUUGGUUUCUUUUGGCGAAGAUCCCAGCAGAGAGGUGUUGAAUCUCCCUCGUUGAGUCCUCUCUAACAAAUUUUUAAUCUUCGCACAGUGAUGAGAUGCCGUGGAUUUUGUGGAUGUGUGAUAUCUCUGGUUCUGUCACAUCUGUUGCCAUGGAUACAUCUUUUAUCAUACUAGUAUCCAACCUUCUGUUUUUCAUCCGAGGGACCUAUGGAUGGACAGCCCUUCCCGUGCUGUGUCUACCAAGUUUGCCUUCGGACAUUAUAUAGCAAAUUGUUCUUCAAUCAUCUUGCUUGAAACUCUUUUUUUGUGAGAUGGAAACGUUUGCUGACAUUCAAUUUAUGUAUAAUCCAACGAAUUUUUGCUCCUAAAUUUCUGUCUUAUAAAAUAGACCCAACGAGCGAUGAUUCAGGCAGCCUCUUUGUCCCAAUCAAUGGCAAUGGUGGUGUUGCGUUGCUCGGAGAGUAAAUCUUCUGCUCUUCAGAUUAGCUGAGGGGGUGGCUCUGCUUCCCUCCUUGAAGCUUGUCUAGUAGUCUUAAGAACAUCAACUAAUUGUCCUUUGUAUACCAAAUUUAGUUUUGUGACGAGCGAUGAUUCAGGCAGCCUCUUUACCGUUACAGUGGCAUUGGAGGUGUUGCGUUGCUCGGAGAGUAAACCUUUUGCUCUUCAGAUUAGCUGAGGGGGAGGCUCUGCUUCCCUCCCUGAAGCUGGUCUAGUAGUCUUAAGAACAUUAUUAUCAGUAUAUUUCUCAUACCCAAUUUGAUUUUGAUUUUUUUGUUUGUGAAAUGGUAGUUCAAUUCUUGGUUGGUGAUCCAUGAAAACAAAUGAUGAUAACAAGACAGGGACAUCAGAACCCUGAAUUUCAGGGUUAUGACAGACUAAGUCUAUAAUGGGAAUCUCUCUGAUGUUUUCGAUUUCCCUAAGUUAAAUUGAUCUGUUUCUCUCCUUUUCAAUUAUUUUCUCUGAAAUAUGGUUCUCUUUCUCUUGCAAUUCAGAUCUUGGAUGGCAAUGCCCAGCUCAUGGUUGGCCUCAUCAACAUUGUUGUGCAUACGCUAGAUUGAUCCAACGAUGUAUUAAGAAGGUACACAAUUGGCAACUGAAGCUUAAUAACAUUUUCAUGAAUAUGAACAGACAUUUUUUAUCCAAAAAACAAUGAACAUGCUGACCCUGGUCUACUAACCCAAAGGCUUCCUGAUGGCCCUACAAUGGCAAUGGAGGUGUUGUGUUGCUAAAUUUUAUAUUUUGGUCAGUUCAAUAUUUUGGUCAGUUCAAUAUUUUGGUUAGUUCAGUAUGUGAAACAAAUCACUGCACGGUGCCUACAGAGCUUCAACAUUAGCAUACAGAGAAGAUUGAUUCAAAGACGCCAUCUGUUUACAUCAUUUGCAACUGAAGCUUAGUCUGUUGCUACAUCUGUGCAAAUGUUCUGGGGACAACUUCUUUUUGAUAUUUUUUUCUUGUACUGGAUCUAAUGCUUAAAGCUGUCCGAUGAUGAUCAAACUAAAUACUUUCGUUCUUCUGAUGUGCUAUCUCAUGGCGCGUUGUGGAAGCAAUUUGGAGACCUGAACUGAGGAAAUGCAUUUUUUCCAUGUUUUUUUACUUGUAGUUUGCGAUGGAAAACAUGUUUUUGUGUUUGUUGCUUCACAACUGGAAGGAUGGCCUGUUGAUAACAGUUUGGUCAUCCUGUAGAGGGAAGCAUAGAUGAACGGAAACACCGGCCAGCAUUAAACAGCAUGAUGCUCUAUUAAACCGCGUCAUGUUACCUGUCUUCUGGCACAUUUCUAACAUACAUAGUGCAUAUUUUUAUUUUUUGAGAUUUUAGCUCCUGAUUCUGCAGCUUGUUAAUUUGGUGGAAGAAAGCCAGCAUUGCAUGUGCUUCGGAGGAUUGAACUUGCAGGAAGCUCAGUCAGUUUUGUUCGGUGACGAUCAAACUAAAUACUUGUCUUCUAAAGUUCUGAUGCGCUAUCUCAUAGCUCAGUUCGGAAGAACACCUAUGUUUCAACCUCAUUAUGCCUACCACAGAUCAUCAUUGCCAAAUCAAACGAAUUUACAUGAUUGACAAAGCAGUUUACAUGAUUUUAGCCGAGUCCACUGUACUUGAUCUUUGAGUGACCAAACAACUUACACAUCUUUGUUGAGAAAACCCUUGAGUGACCACUGUACUAGUCGUGGCAUGAGGUCUUGAUUAUUUGUGCAAUGAUGAUACUAUUACCCAGCUCAUUAUGAGACCUCCCUUUGUGGGCAGUCGUGAUAUGAACUUCUCUUUUGUAUCUGAGCCCACUCACAUUUUUCUUACCCUACACAGAGCCCGUGUGGGCUGCCUCCUGCUCACGUGCUCACGUCACACACGGUGUGUGGGCGGAUGUCUAGUAUGCCACACGUGUGGGCGGACCCUUUUCUUACAAUUUCUUCAGUACAGUUCGGUACAUGAAGGCUAGUUUUUUGGAAAAUAAACACAGCUAGACUGUUACUGCUGCAGUGAUGAUACAACAUAAUCCUUGUCUCCAUUUUCUAACAUUCUCAGUUGAAAUAACUGGACGAGCAAAUGAUGCAGGCACCCUCUUUGUCCGAUUACAAUGGCAAUGGAGGUGUUGUGUUGCUUAAUUUGAUAUUCUUUUGGUUUAUCAUUGUUUGGUCAGAUCAAUAUGCGAAAGAAAUCACUGCAUGGUGCCUACAGAGCUACAACAUUAAGCAUAUAGCAAGAUUGAUUUUUUGUUUUUGUUUUGUACUGGAUCUAAUGCUUAAAGCUGUCUGAUGAUGAUCAAACUAAAUACUUUCAUUCUUCUGACACGCUGUCUCAUGGCUCGGUGCGGAAGCGAUUUGGAGACCUGAACUGAGGAAAAACUGUAUGUAAAAACAGUUUUUGUUAAAAUUCUAUAUUUUUAAUCGUAGUGUUGCAAAUCGAAAUGAUUUUCUUUCUUGUUGUACUUUUUUUGCUUUAUUUUUUCUUGGCAUACGCUCCUUCACAUCUGGAAAAAUGCCCCGAUGUAUACAGUAUUUUUUUAAACUACUAACCAAUAAAACAGAGUUCGGAAACUGCUAGAAAAACCAGGACAUGAUACGUUUCCUGGAAACUUAGAAAUAACAUCACAUAAAAAAUAAUAUACAAAUAAGUCAGUUUCUGCAAACAACCAAAUCUAAAACUAUCAGUCGAAUGCCAGUGGUCAAAUCUAAAAUAUUCUGAUCUUCAGAUUAGCUGAGGGGAGGCUUUGCUUCCCUCACUGACGCUCAUCUAGUAGUCUUAAGAACAUUUUCUAUCUGUUUCGAACACAAUUUGGUUUCUUUUACAGUCUCUUAAGGAUGAUCUACCUGUUUCUUAGAAAUUUGGUUUCCUUUGUAUUUUAGUUGCCUACCUGAGGGACCUAUGGAUGGACAGCCCUGCCCGUGUGAAUGUUCAUCAAUCAUCUUGAUUUAAGUUUGGUCAAACAAAAUAUCUCCUGUAUUAUGUUUUUUCAGUCUUAAAAGCAUGUAAUUUAUGGAACGAGCUAUGAUUCAGGCAGCCCCUUUGUCUGAUUUCAGUGGAAUGGAGGUGUAUUGUUGCUCAGAGAUUGAAUCUUCUGCUCUUCAGGCCCUGUUUGGUUCAGCUUUUAUCGACGGAUUCCGCUGCCGCGCAGCAGAAUGUGAACCAAAGGGCGAACCCAGCAGAAUCCGAUUCCAGAAAUCCACUGCGAAAAUCUGAACCAAAAGCGGAAGCAGCCCAUGACGUGCUUUCCAAAAUCUGAUUUCGCUGCGGGCCAAAAUCUGAAAAAGCUGUAUCAGCUGGUUUGCCAAAUGACCUACAUCUUUUUCACAUCAGAUUUUCCACAACUGUUUUUCCACAGCAGAUUUUUCACAGCUGCUUUUAGAAAUCCACAGCCGAACCAAACAGGGCCUCAGAUUAGCCGAGGGGCAGGCUCUGGCUUCCUCUCUGAAGCUUGUCUAGUAGUCUUAAGAACAUUAUCUAUCUGUUUCAAUUCAAUUUGAUAUUCUUUUGUUUGAUGUUUUCGACAUAUCAAUCAGUGCUUGGUCAGUUCAGUAUGUGAAAUGAAUCAAAAUUUUGCUGGUUCUUUUGCAUCUUCUUCUGUGAAGAUUGACCUAGAACGAGCGACGAUUCAGGCAGCCCUUUUGUCUGAUUACAAUGGCAAUGGAGGUGUUGCAUUGCUCGGAGAGUGAAUCUUCUGCUCUUCAGAUUAGCUGAGGGGGAGGCUCUGGCUUCCCUCUCUGAAGCUUGUCUAGUAGUCUUAAGAACAUUAUCUAUCUGUUUCAAUUCAAUUUGAUAUUCUUUUGUUUGACGUUUUCAACAUAUCAAUCAGUGCUUGGUCAGUUCAGUACGUGAAAUGGAUCACAAUUUUGCUGCUUAUUUUGCAUCUUCGUUUGUGAAGAUCCACCUAGAAAACUUGGAUGGAACGAGCGAUGAUUCAGGCAGCCCUUUUAUCUGAUUAGCUGAGGGGGAGGCUCCGGCUUCCCUCGGUGAAGCUAGUCGAGUAGUCUUGAGAACAUUAUUAUCAGUAUGUUUCAUAUACCCAAUUUGAUAUUGUAUUUUGACAUUUUUUGUGGAAUUAAUGAACCACAUGAUUUGGUUUCUCUAGUUUCCUCUUUCUUUGCUUUGCUGGCAGUAAAUUUCUUGUUUGGGGAUCAACCGAAGCAAAUGAUGAGAACAAGACAGGGACAUCAGAACCCUGAAUUUCAGAUGAGCUGAGGGGGAGGCUCUGCUUCACAACUGGAAGAAUUAACAGCUUGGUCAUCCUGUAGAGGAAAGCAUAGAUGAAUGGAAGCACCGGCCUGCAUUAAACAGCAUGACGCUUUAUCAAACUGCACCCUGUUACCUGUCUUCUGGCACAUUUUGUAGCAUUAGACAAUGUGCACAUAGAUUUUAUUUUUUAUUUGUGAUUUUGUUGUUUGUUCCUGCAUUCAUUUGGUGGACAAGACAUAAUUUUGAUUUCUUGAUGUUUUGUUCAGUAAAAAAUCAAUUCUGGUGGUGUUUCAUUUCUUUUAGUUUCUAUUCCGAGGUUGCGUUCUCGAUUUAGAUGGAAGUGAGGAUCCUUUCCCCAGCUUAUCGACUAUGAUUAUACUGUGCGCAAAUGUAAUCCUUUUUCAGAGGAUUCCAAGCCAGAAAUCUGAUCCAUCUCGCCCAACAAUUUGGUAUUUUACCUUUGUUUUCUCUGUAUGUAUUUUACCUUCCUUUUCUCUCUUUUUGUAUUUUACCUUUAUUUUUCUGUUCGGAUUUGUAAAUUGAAUGGAAGUGAGGAUCCUUUCCCCAAAUGAUCGACCAUGUUUAUACUGUGCGCAACUAUAAUCUCACCGGGAUUCCUAGCCAGAAAUCUGAUCCAUCUUUGGUUAUCUUUGCCACCCUGUUUUUUUUAUUUCUCGUUUAUUUUCACUAAUGAGAAACUGAAUGGAAGUGAGGAUCCUUUCCCCAAAUGAUCGACUAUGAUUAUACUGUGCGCAACUGUAAUCCCACCGGGAUUCCAAGCCAGAAAUCUGAUCCAUUAAUUUCUGCUUCCUUUGUCCUCUUUGUGCAUUUUCUUUGCUUCUUUUGGCAAUUAGGGUUUAUGCUUUUGGCAAUAACAUUUCUGUUAUAAUUUUGGUUUAGAGUUGGUUGAACUGUUCUACUACUGUUAUUAAAUUAUUUCUAUUGGACUGUCUUGGAUGCUGUUAGAAAUCCAAUUUCUUAAUGAGACCCUGAACCGAGGAAACAGUACUCCCUCCGGAUGGGUAUAUAUUAAUCGGCUCGUCAUCGGCCAGGCAUGGCGCGUUCUCUGCCUUGAUAGUUAUUGUCCUUGUGUAUUAAAAGGUUGUGCAUGCAUAAUAGUUGUCAUCGGUUUGUAAAUUAGUUCCAGUUUUUGGGUUCUGUUUUAUGAUGGGCUGUGGUGAUGCUAAAACAAGAUAUUCCUGAGGUUUUCUUUGAGGAAUACAAAAUAUAAUGUUUGUUUUCUUCUAUGCA